UUAGGACAAAAAAUUCUGCCAGGUCUGAUCCCAUUCCCUUUAAAGGCAGGUUGCCAAGAGCAGCUCUGAUCCCAUUCCCUUUAAAUGCAGGUGGCCCAGAGCAGCUCGGAUCCCAUUCCCUUUAAAGGCAGGUGGCCCAGAGCAGCUCUGAUCCCAUUCCCUUUAAAGGCAGGUGGCCCAGAGCAGCUCUGAUCCCAUUCCCUUUAAAGGCAGGUGGCCCAGAGCAGCUCUGAUCCCAUUCCCUUUAAAGGCAGGUGGCCCAGAGCAGCUCUGAUCCCAUUCCCUUUAAAGGCAGGUGGCCCAGAGCAGCUCUGAUCCCAUUCCCUUUAAA